AUGGGAACGCGAAGAACCUUACCUAGACUUGACAUCUCCUGAAUAGUGUAGAGAUACAUGAAGCCCUUCGGGGCAGGAAGACAGGUACUGCAUGGCUGUCGUCAGCUCGUGUUGUGAAAUGUUGGGUUAAGUCCCGCAACGAGCGCAACCCUUAUCCUUUGUUGCCAGCGGUUAGGCCGGGAACUCAAAGGAGACUGCCAGUGAUAAACUGGAGGAAGGUGGGGAUGACGUCAAGUCAUCAUGGCCCUUACGAGUAGGGCUACACACGUGCUACAAUGGCGCAUACAAAGAGAAGCGACCUCGCGAGAGCAAGCGGACCUCAUAAAGUGCGUCGUAGUCCGGAUUGGAGUCUGCAACUCGACUCCAUGAAGUCGGAAUCGCUAGUAAUCGUAGAUCAGAAUGCUACGGUGAAUACGUUCCCGGGUCUUGUACACACCG
rnacentral:rRNA from 1 species